rnacentral:misc_RNA from 1 species
GAUGAAGAACGCAGCGAAAUGCGAUACUUGGUGUGAAUUGCAGAAUCCCGUGAACCAUCGAGUCUUUGAACGCAAGUUGCACCCGAAGCCAUUAGGCCGAGGGCACGCCUGCCUGGGCGUCACACGUCGUUGCCCCCCAUCUACUCCUUCGGGAUUGCGGGGGGCGGAUGAUGGCCUCCCGUGCGCCUCGUCGCGCGGUUGGCAUAAAUGCCAAGUCCUCGGCGACGCACGCCACGACAAUCGGUGGUUGCGAAACCUCGGUUGCCCGUCGUGUGCGGUCGUCGCGCAUCGAGGGCUCGAAAAAAUUGCCGGGCUCCGGCUCGGCUUUCAACGCGACCGCAGGUCAGGCGGGGUUACCCGCUGAAUUUAAGCAUAUCAAUAAGCGGAGGA